CGACCUGAGUUCAGGUGAGGCUACCCGCUGAACUUAAGAUUUUCAAAAUAAACCA
rnacentral:rRNA from 1 species